rnacentral:tRNA from 1 species
GCCCAGGUAGCUCAGUCGGUAGAGCAGAGGAUUGAAAAUCCUCGUGUCGGUGGUUCGAUUCCGCCCCUGGGCA